UACGUAGGCAGCAAGCGUUGUUCGGAGUUACUGGGCGUAAAGGGUGUGUAGGCGGUUGGAUAAGUGGGGUGUGAAAUCUCCCGGCUCAACUGGGAGGGUGCGCUACAAACUGUCUGACUAGAGUGUGGGAUGGGAAAGUGGAAUUCCUGGUGUAGCGGUGAAAUGCGUAGAUAUCGGGAGGAACACCUGCGGCGAAAGCGGCUACCUGGACCAUAACCGACGCUGAGGCGCGAAAGCUAGGGGAGCAAACAGG
rnacentral:rRNA from 1 species